GACGGACGCUGGCGGCGUGCUUAACACAUGCAAGUCGAACGGAAAGGCCCUGCUCUUGUGGGGCGCUCGAGUGGCGAACGGGUGAGUAACACGUGAGUAACCUGCCCUUGACUUUGGGAUAACUUCAGGAAACAGGGGCUAAUACCGGAUAGGAGCUCCUGCUGCACGGGGGGGGUUGGAAAGAUUCGGCGGUUGGGGAUGGACUCGAGGCUUAUCAGCUUGUUGGUGGGGUAGUGGCUUACAAAGGCUUUGACGGGUAGCCGGCCUGAGAGGGUGACCGGCCACAUUGGGCCUGAGAUACGGCCCAGACUCCUACGGGAGGCAGCAGUGGGGAAUAUUGCACAGUGGGCGGAAGCCUGAUGCAGCAACGCCGCGUGCGUGAUGACGGCCUUCGGGUUGUAAACCGCUUUCGCCUGUGACGAAGCGUGAGUGACGGUAAUGGGUAAAGAAGCACCGGCUAACUACGUG
rnacentral:rRNA from 1 species